UCGCUUUGGGAGGAGCUCGCUUACUAUCAGCUUGUUGGUAGGGUAAUGGCCUACCAAGGCUAUGACGGUUAGGGGGUGUGAGAGCAUGACCCCCAGCAUUGGCACUGAAACACUGGCCAAACACCUACGGGUGGCUGCAGUCGAGAAUCUUCCACAAUGGGGGAAACCCUGAUGGAGCGAUGCUGCGUGCGGGAUGAAGGCCUUCGGGUUGUAAACCGCUUUUGUAGGGGACGAAAUUUUUGACGGUACCCUUUCGAAUAAGAGGUUGCUAACUCUGUGCCAGCAGCAGCGGUAAUACAGAGACCUCAAGCGUUAUCCGGAUUUACUGGGCGUAAAGCGUCUGUAGGGGGUUUAUUAAGUUCCAAGUAAAAUUUCAAGGCUCAACUUUGAAUUCGCUUGGAAAACUAAUAAACUGGAGUCUAGCAGAGGUGCAUGGAACUUGUGGUGUAGGAGUGAAAUCCGUUGAUAUCACAAGGAACACCAAAGGCGAAGGCAUUGCACUGGGCUAGCACUGACCCUGAGAGACGAAAGCGUGGGGAGCAAAACGGAUUAGAUACCCGUGUAGUCCACGCCCUAAACGAUGAAUGCUAAAUGUUCGGGGAUUCGACCCCCUGGGCGUUACAGCUAACGCGUUAAGCAUUCCGCCUGGGAAGUACGGCCGCAAGGCUAAAACUCAAAGGAAUAGACGGGGAUCCGCACAAGCGGUGGAGCGUCUGGUUUAAUUCGACAGUAAGCGUGGUACCUCACCAGGGUUUGACAUCCCUUGACAGCCUUGGAAACAAGGUUUCCUUCGGGCAAGGUGACAGGUGCUGCAUGGUCGUCGUCAGUUCGUGCCGUGAGGUGUUCCGUUAAGUCGGGAAACGAACGAAACCCCUAUUGCAUGUUACAAUUUCUCAUGCAAGACUGCCCGGAUAUACUGGGAGGAAGGUGGGGAUGACGUCAGAUCUGCAUGGUCCUUAUACCCUGGGCGACACAGGCGCUACAAUGGCAGAGACAAAGGGUUGCAAAACCGCAAGGUGAAGCUAAUCCCAAAAACUUUGUCUAAGUUCGGAUUGAAGGCUGCAAUUCGCCUUCAUGAAGCUGGAAUCGCUAGUAAUCGUGAAUCAGCCACGUCACGGUGAAUAUGUUCCCGGAUCUUGUACUCACCGCCCGUCACACCAAGAGAGUUGGUAGCUCCCGAAGCGUCCCGUUUUAGCGGGGC
rnacentral:rRNA from 1 species